rnacentral:rRNA from 1 species
CCUACAGGCGGCUGCAGUGGGGAAUAUUGGACAAUGGGGGGAACCCUGAUCCAGCCAUGCCGCGUGUGUGAAGAAGGCCCUCGGGUUGUAAAGCACUUUCAGUGAGGAAGAACGCCUGGUGGUUAAUACCCAUCAGGAAAGACAUCACUCACAGAAGAAGCACCGGCUAACUCCGUGCCAGCAGCCGCGGUAAUACGGAGGGUGCGAGCGUUAAUCGGAAUUACUGGGCGUAAAGCGCGCGUAGGUGGCUUGAUAAGCCGGUUGUGAAAGCCCCGGGCUCAACCUGGGAACGGCAUCCGGAACUGUCAAGCUAGAGUGCAGGAGAGGAAGGUAGAAUUCCCGGUGUAGCGGUGAAAUGCGUAGAGAUCGGGAGGAAUACCAGUGGCGAAGGCGGCCUUCUGGACUGACACUGACACUGAGGUGCGAAAGCGUGGGUAGCAAACAGGAUUAGAUACCCUUGUAGUC